GUGGGUGAAGCUCAGUGGAAGAGCACCUGCCUGAUGUAUGAGGCCCUGGGUUCGAUCCUCAGCAGCACA
rnacentral:tRNA from 1 species